AGCACAGAGAGUACGGCCCUAGGAGCAGGACCCUGCACACAGCUGAGCUCAGAGGCUCCAGUCUGGCCACGAGAAUGCAAUGGGAGGUAUUCUUCAUUGAUCUUACUCGAAGUUGAGAACAUGUAUUUUGACUCUGAGAAAUGUUUGGAGGUCAACUGCAGUGAGGUCUCUAUACCACAGAGUGUUGUUGGCGUCUCACAUGGCCAUUCAUCAGCUCAAUACAAACAAGUCUUCACGGAGGUGGAGUUUCCUCCUCACCUGUUGCUAAACCAGGCAGCGUGGAUUGGCAUAUUCACUGACUUCAUGGCACGAAGGCCUACAAAAGCGGAACAACUUUUCACCAGUGCAAAAAUGUUCCAAAAGAUACUCUCUCUGUCCAAUACACUUGUAAGUGCAUUCUAGAAUAUAAAAAAUAGAGAGAGAUAAAUGUUCUGUUGAAAGAUAAUCUCCCAAAAUAUAAGUUUUUAUGUAAGACAGUGCUCUCAAGUCAUAAAUGGUAAAUUCUUCUGAAAGUCACAGAGGAAAUUACUCUUAAGACCUCUGUCUUGUUAAGUUAUCAUAGUAAUAAAAUCUCAACCUACUAAGGUAACUUUCUAAACAUGUCAGAGCUUGAAAGUCUCUUGUAAACCUCUAAAUACAAAGAAAACCUAAGUUUAUUUAUUGAAGUUCAAGCUGUAGAAAUCUGACAGCUUUGAGGACUUUAAAAGAUACUGAAUCAACUGCUAUAAAAGGAAAACAGUCUUGACAAUUUUAAUUCAUAUAGUAUUACAACUGAAGAAACUAUUUGAUGAUUUAUGAAGGGCACAUUUGCCGGCUGUGUUUUGGAGUUUUUGCAUGAAAAGUGAAUUUGUACUCAGACUGUUUGCAUCUUCAAAGACCCAUGAGCUUGGCUGUAGGGGCAUGCAACAUUAGGUUUGGAAAUAUAUGAAAUAAAUAUUGCUAUGCCUUAAGAAUGUGA